rnacentral:rRNA from 1 species
CCCUUAGAUGUUCUGGGCCGCACGCGCGCUACACUGAUGCAUUCAACGAGUCUAAAACCUGGUCUGAUAGGGCUGGGUAAUCUUUUGAAAGUGCAUCGUGAUUGGGAUAGAUGAUUGCAAUUCUUCAUCUUCAACGAGGAAUGCCUAGUAAACGCAAGUCAUCAGCUUGCAUUGAUUACGUCCCUGCCCUUUGUACACACCGCCCGUCGCACCUACCGAUUGAAUGGUCCGGUGAAAUCUCGGGAUUGUGGCCAGUUCACUUUAUUGGGAGUUGGCUGCGAGAACUUGCUUAAACCUUAUCAUUUAGAGGAAGGUGAAGUCGUAACA